UACAGAGGGUGCGAGCGUUGUCCGGAAUCACUGGGCGUAAAGGGCGCGUAGGUGGCCCGACAAGUCAAUGGUGAAAGCUCGACGCUGCAACGUCGAGUCGGCCACUGAUACUGUUGGGCUGGAGCACUGUAGAGGCAGAUGGAAUUCCGGGGUGUAGCGGUGGAAUGCGUAGAGAUCCGGAAGAACACCGGUGGCGAAGGCGGCUCUCU
rnacentral:rRNA from 1 species